rnacentral:rRNA from 1 species
AACGUAGGAGACAAACGUUAUCCGGAGUUACUGGGCGUAAAGGGCGUGUAGGUGGUUUCGUAAGUCUGGCGUGAAAUUUUUCGGCUUAACCGGGAAAGGUCGUCGGAUACUGCGGAGCUAGAGGACGGUAGAGGCGUGUGGAAUUCCGGGUGUAGUGGUGAAAUGCGUAGAGAUCCGGAGGACACCAGUGGCGAAGGCGACACGCUGG